ensembl:lncRNA
AUGUGAGAGGUGGAAACAAGGAGAGAGGGAGAAAAGAGGAGAGGGGGAGAAAAGAGGAGAGGGGGAGAGAUGUGAGAGGAGGAGAGAGGGGAAGGGAAGAGAGAGGGGGAGAGAGGGAGUGGGAGAGAGGGAGAGAUGGGGAUAGAGAGGGAGUGGGAGAAAAUGAGAGAUGGGGAGAGAGAGGGAGUGGGAGAGAGGGAGAGAUGGGGAUAGAGAGGGAAUGGGAGAAAGUGAGAGAUGUGGAGAGAGAGGGAGUGGGAGAAAGUGAGAGAUGGGGAGAGAGAGGGAGUGGGAGAAAGUGAGAGAUUGGGAGAGAGAGGGAGUGGGAGAGAG